rnacentral:ncRNA from 1 species
CCAGAAAAGGAUAGACUUAAUAAGGAAGUGGGUGCAAAUCCCACGCGGAGCCGCCGCUGUAAAGGGAAGCUGACACAAAAAUGUCACUGGGGAACUAAAAACCUGGGAAGGCUGUGAAAGCGAUGAACCUGAGCCAGAAGACUUGCCUGCAGGAAU